GUACAGUGAAAAGCAUUUGUUGUGCACUAUCCAGUGAGCAGAAAGACAGUCCAUGAUUACAAUCAAGCUGCCCACAG